rnacentral:lncRNA from 13 species
GUAGAAUUUGCCCAUCAAUUUCAAUGAAAGCCAAAAAUGUACUAAGCUUGCUCUCUUGAGGAGUACUAUUAUCAGUGUGCUUUUACAAAAAUAAGUAUUUCUUUGUAAACAAACCAAAUAAUAUGAAGAUUAUGCAAUGAGAAAUAAUGAAAGCUACAUAAACAGUUUUUUUCAAGUAUUUGAACUAUGCUCUCAUAGGCAGUCUUUAGCAUAAUGAUAAUUAUCUAUUGUACUCAAAGGACAUAAAAGCCUUUCAGUGAACUCUUAACAUUGUAUACAUUUCACUUCAGUAUGAAAGUAAUAAUCCUGAAACAUAGGCUUGACUUCCUGACAUUACCAUCUCCUUAAUUGUAACCACUUCAUUCCCCCAAACCCCAAAAUCUUACCGAAGUCAGAGCCCAGCCAGUCUUUAAUGUCAACACUGGCAAAAAAAAUAAUACAUGCACAAGUAAGCUGCCCACCUUGGGUCCCCAAUGUGUGGAAAUUAUAGACAGGAGCUAUGACAUCUGGCCAGCCUUUUCUUUUUUAAAGCUCCCUUUUUAAUUUUAUAAAUAUAUUUCAGAAAUAUUCUUAACUAAAAUGAAAUUAUUAAAUAUUAUGACACAAUUAUAUAUUAUAUUUCUACAUGUUUUUAUAUUAUAUUAAACAGAAAUAUUUAUAUAUUAUAAUACUUAUAUGUGUAUUUUAUAGUAUAUUUGUUCUUCUUUCUGAUAGAUUUUUAUAGCAACAGGAGAACUUCCAUUUCCAUCUUACCCUUUGUCAGUUGAAUCCUCCUGAAUGAUGCCUUUUAAGUAAUCGGAUGGAGCCUUUUCCAAGCCCACCCAUGGACCAAUCUGCAUGUAUUCCCUUAUUCUAAGCCCUAAAUCCUGGACUUAGCCUCACAAAUGGCAACCUGCUUUCAGGUCCCCUCUCCCUGUUGAGACCUUUCUGCUGCUCAGUAAAAUUCUGUUCUACCUACUCACUCUCCAGUGUCCACGUAUUUUAUUCCUCUGGGCUGCAGAACAAGAACCUGGAACUUGCCGAACUGAGGAAGUAAAGAACUGUACUGCUCCUAGUCACAUCUUACAUGGUGUCUGGAAAAACAUUCGAGUAAGAAGGGGACAACACAAACACAGCAGAUCACUCAUAAAUUUGAAAAGGAUGUCCUGUGAGAUAACAACAUGGCUGCCCUCAAUGCUAUCAAAGCUCUAG